AGAACGAACGCUGGCGGCAUGCCUAAUACAUGCAGGUCGAACGAACUCUUCGGAGUUAGUGGCGCACGGGUGCGUAACGCGUGGGAAUCUGCCCCUUGGUUCGGAAUAACAGUUGGAAACGACUGCUAAUACCGGAUGAUGACGAAAGUCCAAAAGAUUUAUCGCCAAGGGAUGAGCCCGCGUAGGAUUAGCUAGUUGGUGAGGUAAAGGCUCACCAAGGCAACGAUCCUUAGCUGGUCUGAGAGGAUGAUCAGCCACACUGGGACUGAGACACGGCCAGACUCCACGGGAGGCAGCAGUAGGGAAUAUUGGACAAUGGGCGAAAGCCUGAUCAGCAAUGCCGCGUAGAGUGAUGAAGGCUUAGGGUGUAAAGUCUACUUUACCCGGAGUAUAGAUAAUAGAACAGUACGUUACGGAAGAAACUAACGCCCCGGUA
rnacentral:rRNA from 1 species